GUGAACUCGAAGAGUAGGGCGGGACACGUGGUAUCCUGUCUGAAUAUGGGGGGACCAUCCUCCAAGGCUAAAUACUCCUGACUGACCGAUAGUGAACCAGUACCGUGAGGGAAAGGCGAAAAGAACCCCGGCGAGGGGAGUGAAAAAGAACCUGAAACCGUGUACGUACAAGCAGUGGGAGCACCUUCGGGUGUGACUGCGUACCUUUUGUAUAAUGGGUCAGCGACUUAUAUUCUGUAGCAAGGUUAACCGUAUAGGGGAGCCGCAGGGAAACCGAGUCUUAACUGGGCGUUAAGUUGCAGGGUAUAGACCCGAAACCCGGUGAUCUAGCCAUGGGCAGGUUGAAGGUUGGGUAACACUAACUGGAGGACCGAACCGACUAAUGUUGAAAAAUUAGCGGAUGACUUGUGGCUGGGGGUGAAAGGCCAAUCAAACCGGGAGAUAGCUGGUUCUCCCCGAAAGCUAUUUAGGUAGCGCCUCGUGAACUCAUCUUCGGGGGUAGAGCACUGUUUCGGCUAGGGGGUCAUCCCGACUUACCAACCCGAUGCAAACUACGAAUACCGAAGAAUGUUAUCACGGGAGACACACGGCGGGUGCUAACGUCCGUCGUGAAGAGGGAAACAACCCAGACCGCCAGCUAAGGUCCCAAAGUCAUGGUUAAGUGGGAAACGAUGUGGGAAGGCACAGACAGCCAGGAUGUUGGCUUAGAAGCAGCCAUCAUUUAAAGAAAGCGUAAUAGCUCACUGGUCGAGUCGGCCUGCGCGGAAGAUGUAACGGGGCUAAACCAUGCACCGAAGCUGCGGCAGCGACACUAUGUGUUGUUGGGUAGGGGAGCGUUCUGUAAGCCUGCGAAGGUGUGCUGUGAGGCAUGCUGGAGGUAUCAGAAGUGCGAAUGCUGACAUAAGUAACGAUAAAGCGGGUGAAAAGCCCGCUCGCCGGAAGACCAAGGGUUCCUGUCCAACGUUAAUCGGGGCAGGGUGAGUCGACCCCUAAGGCGAGGCCGAAAGGCGUAGUCGAUGGGAAACAGGUUAAUAUUCCUGUACUUGGUGUUACUGCGAAGGGGGGACGGAGAAGGCUAUGUUAGCCGGGCGACGGUUGUCCCGGUUUAAGCAUGUAGGCUGGUUAUCCAGGCAAAUCCGGAUAAUCAAGGCUGAGGUGUGAUGACGAGGCACUACGGUGCUGAAGUAACAAAUGCCCUGCUUCCAGGAAAAGCCUCUAAGCAUCAGGUAACAUCAAAUCGUACCCCAAACCGACACAGGUGGUCAGGUAGAGAAUACCAAGGCGCUUGAGAGAACUCGGGUGAAGGAACUAGGCAAAAUGGUGCCGUAACUUCGGGAGAAGGCACGCUGGUGUGUAGGUGAAGUCCCUGCGGAUGGAGCUGAGACCAGUCGAAGAUACCAGCUGGCUGCAACUGUUUAUUAAAAACACAGCACUGUGCAAACACGAAAGUGGACGUAUACGGUGUGACGCCUGCCCGGUGCCGGAAGGUUAAUUGAUGGGGUUAUCCGUAAGGAGAAGCUCUUGAUCGAAGCCCCGGUAAACGGCGGCCGUAACUAUAACGGUCCUAAGGUAGCGAAAUUCCUUGUCGGGUAAGUUCCGACCUGCACGAAUGGCGUAAUGAUGGCCAGGCUGUCUCCACCCGAGACUCAGUGAAAUUGAACUCGCUGUGAAGAUGCAGUGUACCCGCGGCAAGACGGAAAGACCCCGUGAACCUUUACUAUAGCUUGACACUGAACAUUGAGCCUUGAUGUGUAGGAUAGGUGGGAGGCUUUGAAGCGUGGACGCCAGUCUGCGUGGAGCCAACCUUGAAAUACCACCCUUUAAUGUUUGAUGUUCUAACGUUGGCCCCUGACCGGGGUUGCGGACAGUGUCUGGUGGGUAGUUUGACUGGGGCGGUCUCCUCCCAAAGCGUAACGGAGGAGCACGAAGGUUAGCUAAUCCUGGUCGGACAUCAGGAGGUUAGUGCAAUGGCAUAAGCUAGCUUGACUGCGAGCGUGACGGCGCGAGCAGGUGCGAAAGCAGGUCAUAGUGAUCCGGUGGUUCUGAAUGGAAGGGCCAUCGCUCAACGGAUAAAAGGUACUCCGGGGAUAACAGGCUGAUACCGCCCAAGAGUUCAUAUCGACGGCGGUGUUUGGCACCUCGAUGUCGGCUCAUCACAUCCUGGGGCUGAAGUAGGUCCCAAGGGUAUGGCUGUUCGCCAUUUAAAGUGGUACGCGAGCUGGGUUUAGAACGUCGUGAGACAGUUCGGUCCCUAUCUGCCGUGGGCGCUGGAGAAUUGAGGGGGGCUGCUCCUAGUACGAGAGGACCGGAGUGGACGCAUCACUGGUGUUCGGGUUGUCAUGCCAAUGGCACUGCCCGGUAGCUAAAUGCGGAAGAGAUAAGUGCUGAAAGCAUCUAAGCACGAAACUUGCCCCGAGAUGAGUUCUCCCUGAGACUNNNNGACGUUGAUAGGCCGGGUGUGUAAGCGCAGCGAUGCGUUGAGCUAACCGGUACUAAUGAACCGUGAGGCUUAACCUU
rnacentral:rRNA from 1 species